CGACCCCAGGUCAGGCGGGAUUACCCGCU
rnacentral:snRNA from 1 species